UUUUUCCCUCCUUAUGUAACCCAUAAAUAAUGCAGAAAUUGGUGCCGGGAGUGGGAUUUGAAAGUAACAGACAUAAAAACUAUGGAGCUGUCCAAAUAGAAGCCAAGUGCACACGAUUGCUUCGAUCAACAGAGUAGAGCAGAAGCAAUACUAUGUGGUAUUACGGUUUCUGUCUUACACUCUUUGGUCACUUGUUUUGGGGAAGCCAGCUGCCAUGUUGUGAGAACACUCAAGAAGUCCUCUGGAGAGGUCCACGUGGAGAAGAACUGAGGCCUCCUGCCAACAGCCAGCAGUAACUUUACAGGCAUCUGAACAAGAAUGCUUGGAAGUGGAUCCACCAGCCCCACUCAGGCUUUUUUGUGAGUUAAGUCCCAGCUGAUCUCUUAACUGCGACCCUGUGAGAGACUCUGAGCCAGAACCACCCAGUUAAACUGCUCUCAAAUUCCUGAUCCUCAGAACUCUGUAAAACUGUAAAUGUUUAUUGUUUUAAGCUGUUUAGUUUGGGGUAAUUUGUCACUCAGCAAUAGAUAACUAAUGCGGAUUUGAUGCCAGGAGUGGGGUCAAUAACAAAUACCUAAAAAUAUGGAAGUGGCUUUGGAACUGGGUAGUAAGCAGAGGCUAGAAAGAUUCUGAGAUAGUGUUAGUGAAAAUCAGAAAAUCUUGUGUUAAUUAUCUAUUGCUGUAUAAAAAUAUUAGCACAAACUUAGCAGCUUAGCACAACACACAUUUAUUUCCUCACAGUUUCUGUGGAGUCAGGAGUCUGGGCAUGGCUUAGCUGGGUCCUCUGCUUAGGGUCUCACAUGGCUUUGAUCAAGGUGUUGGCUUUGGUUGUGGUCUCAUCUAAGACUCGACUGGGGAAGGGUCCUCUUUCAGUGGCAGAGUUCAGUUCCUUGCAGCUCUAGGACUGAGAACUUUAGUUUUCUGCUGGCUGCUAGCCAGAGGCCAUCUUCAGCUCCGAGAGAUUGCCUGAAGUUCCAUGACAUGUGGGCCUCCCAAUGGAGGGGGCCCUGUGGGGCAGCCCACAAAAUGGCAGCUCGCUUUUUCAAAGCCAGCGAAGGAGUAAGAAAGACUCCAGGAAGACAGGUGCUACGAACUUAUGUAACAUAAUCAUGUACAUGUAGUCAUGUACAUCCUGCCACCUUUAAUAUUCUAUUGGUUAGGAGCAAGUCACACGUCCUGGCUACACUCAAGGGGAGAGGAUUACACAAAGGUGUGAAUACCAGGAAGUGGGGAUCGUAGGGGGCCACUUUAAGACUCUGUGCACCACAGCCCCAAGGAUACUUUCAGUAGAAGCCUAACAGCCUUUGAUAAGCUGACAGUAAAGGCUGAAGGAAGUGAGGAAAAUGUUAUCGGAUACUCAAGGCAAGGAGACCCUUGUUACACAGGGGCAGGACAUUUAGCAACACUGUCACCUGUGGUAAUGUGGAAAGUAGAAAGCGUACCUGAUGAACUGUGUGAUCCAGCUAAGGAGGUUUCCAGGCAAAAUGUUGAAGGUACCACCUCAUUUCUUCUUGCUGCUUAGAGUAAAAUGUGAGAGGAGAGAUAUAAACUGAUAGAAGCACUUUAGACAAAACGGAGUUAGGACUUGAAGAUUUUGAGAGUUCCCAGCCUCUCCGGACAGCAACCACACUAAAAAUAAGAAAGGGCUUCUGGGAAAAGAGCAAAUACAGAGCACUGUCAGGAAAAUACGGCACAAGGUGGAAGCCCCAGGUAUGGCUGUGAAAUCCCUUGUUAAGGCCCCAGAAAGGUCUAAGGCAAUAGAACCUUUCAGCCAACCAAUAAGUCUUUCAGGAAGCUUACAGGCAUUGUCUAUCAGCAUAAGCCCAAGGUCAAGAGGGGCUUAUCUCAAAAAGAUUUGUGGGCCAAAUUUAAUGGAGUGAACCCCAAUAAGAUUCAUAGAAAUCUACAAAGUUUUUAGAAUUGUAUUGGCAGAAAUACGGCCAACUUGGAGUGUAAAGGACAGAAAUAUUAUAAAUGAAAAACAGG
ensembl:lncRNA